CCUACGGGAGGCAGCAGUAGGGAAUCUUUCACAAUGGGCGAAAGCCUGAUGGAGCAACGCCGCGUGCAGGAUGAAGGCCUUCGGGUUGUAAACUGCUUUUAUAAGCGAGAAAUAUGAUGGUAACUUAUGAAUAAGGAUCGGCUAACUACGUGCCAGCAGCCGCGGUCAUACGUAGGAUCCGAGCAUUAUCCGGAGUGACUGGGUGUAAAGAGUUUCGUAGGUGGCAUAAUAAGUAGCUAGGGAAAUCUGGUGGCUCAACCAUUCAGACUAUUAGCUAAACUGUUAAGCUCGAGACCGUUAGGGGUAACUGGAAUUUCUAGUGUAGGAGUGAAAUGCGUAGAUAUUAGAAAGAACACCAAUAGCGUAGGCAGGUUACUGGGACGGUUCUGACACUAAGGCACGAAAGCGUAGGGAGCAAACGGGAUUAGAUACCCCUGUAGUC
rnacentral:rRNA from 1 species